rnacentral:rRNA from 1 species
UACAGAGGGGGCAAGCGUUGUUCGGAAUUACUGGGCGUAAAGGGCGCGUAGGCGGCCUUCUAAGUCGAACGUGAAAUCCCUGGGCUCAACCCAGGAACUGCGUCCGAUACUGGAAGGCUUGAAUCCGGGAGAGGGAUGCGGAAUUCCAGGUGUAGCGGUGAAAUGCGUAGAUAUCUGGAGGAACACCGGUGGCGAAGGCGGUC